rnacentral:snRNA from 1 species
AACCUAAUUAAGAAUUUGAUGAU